rnacentral:tRNA from 1 species
GGAGAUAUAGCUCAGAGGUAUAGCGCUUACCUAGCAUGUACAAGACCCUGGGUUUGAUCCCCAGCACUGCCA